rnacentral:rRNA from 1 species
CAGUUCAGAUUGCAGGCUGCAACCGCCUGCAUGAAGUCGGAAUUGCUAGUAAUCGCGGAUCAGCAUGCCGCGGUGAAUACGUUCCCGGGCCUUGUACACACCGCCCGUCACACCAUGGGAGCCGGUAAUACCCGAAGUCAGUAGUCCAACCUCGUGAGGACGCUGCCGAAGGUAGGAUUGGCGACUGGGGUGAAGUCGUAACAAGGUAAC